rnacentral:rRNA from 1 species
UACGAAGGGUGCAAACGUUGCUCGGAAUUAUUGGGCGUAAAGGGCUCGUAGGUGGCCAACUAAGUCAGACGUGAAAUCCCUCGGCUUAACCGGGGAACUGCGUCUGAUACUGGAUGGCUUGAGUUCGGGAGAGGGAUGCGGAAUUCCAGGUGUAGCGGUGAAAUGCGUAGAGAUCCGGAGGAACACCAAAGGCGAAGGCAGUGUCCUGGGGAGUACCUGACGCUCAGGUGCGAAAGCCAGGGGAGCGAACGGG